rnacentral:rRNA from 1 species
CAGUAGCCGCGGUAAUACGUAGGGUGCAAGCGUUAAUCGGAAUUACUGGGCGUAAAGCGUGCGCAGGCGGUUUUGUAAGACAGAGGUGAAAUCCCCGGGCUCAACCUGGGAACUGCCUUUGUGACUGCAAUGCUAGAGUACGGCAGAGGGGGAUGGAAUUCCGCGUGUAGCAGUGAAAUGCGUAGAUAUGCGGAGGAACACCGAUGGCGAAGGCAAUCCCCUGGGCCUGUACUGACGCUCAUGCACGAAAGCGUGGGGAGCAAACAGGAUUAGAUACCCCUGUAGUCCCUGUCUCUUAUAC